rnacentral:tRNA from 1 species
GGAGAUUUAGCUCAGUGGUACAGCACCUGCUUGGCAAGCAUGAGGUUCUAAAUUCAAUUUCUG